GAUGAACGCUGGCGGCGUGCCUAAUACAUGCAAGUCGAGCGAACAGACGAGGAGCUUGCUCCUCUGACGUUAGCGGCGGACGGGUGAGUAACACGUGGAUAACCUACCUAUAAGACUGGGAUAACUUCGGGAAACCGGAGCUAAUACCGGAUAAUAUAUUGAACCGCAUGGUUCAUUAGUGAAAGACGGUUUUGCUGUCACUUUUAGAUGGAUCCGCGCCGCAUUAGCUAGUUGGUAAGGUAACGGCUUACCAAGGCAACGAUGCGUAGCCGACCUGAGAGGGUGAUCGGCCACACUGGAACUGAGACACGGUCCAGACUCCUACGGGAGGCAGCAGUAGGGAAUCUUCCGCAAUGGGCGAAAGCCUGACGGAGCAACGCCGCGUGAGUGAUGAAGGUCUUCGGAUCGUAAAACUCUGUUAUUAGGGAAGAACAAAUGUGUAAGUAACUAUGCACGUCUUGACGGUACCUAAUCAGAAAGCCACGGCUAACUACGUG
rnacentral:rRNA from 1 species